CGGGAGCUGGAAGACGCGGGGACGGAGCUGUGCAGGCUGGGGGGCUGGGGGGGCCCCGACUCCUUGGACAGCUGCGCUGCUUGCACCCACUAAUCCCUCGCUGGGUGAGGCCUGGCUCCCAGCGGCCCCUCUCAAGUCACCGGGAUCGCAAGGUCAUCUCUGGGAAACCUGUCUCCCUCUUGCUUAGGCCACGAUCUACGGAACCCAGUGUUUCCCAUCAUAAAGCCAGACGUCCCAGUCAGGGCACCCAGGUCACCCUGCUCCUGGGGACGGCUCACCUGAUUUCUUUUCAGGACAGGAAGUUCCCUUUCUGGGCACAGUGCAAGUGGGAAGCACAGCUUCUUGUCCUUGUCUUCUUGUCUGUCCUCACCUCACCAGUCCCCUUUGAUGCGGGACCCAGUGACCCACUUUUGCUGGAUGAGGAGAGGGCACUGGGGGGAGGGUGUUGUGUAUAGGGAGGGGUCUGCCCCAGCCUGGGCUGUCCCAGGGCGCUGGGGACAGGAGAGGGGGGCUCCUGCCCAUGUGGUGAUGCCCCU
rnacentral:lncRNA from 12 species